rnacentral:rRNA from 1 species
GACGAACGCUGGCGGCGCGCCUAACACAUGCGAGUCGAACGAGCGAGCGAGAGUUUGCUUUCUCGAGCGAGUGGCGAACGGGUGAGUAACGCGUGAGGAACCUGCCUCAAAGAGGGGGACAACAGUUGGAAACGACUGCUAAUACCGCAUAAGCCCACGGGCCGGCAUCGACCCGUGGGAAAAGGAGCAAUCCGCUUUGAGAUGGCCUCGCGUCCGAUUAGCUAGUUGGUGAGGUAAUGGCCCACCAAGGCGACGAUAGGUAGCCGGACUGAGAGGUUGAACCGCCACAUUGGGAGUAGGACACAGCCCAGACUCCUACGGGAGGGAGGAGUGGGGAAUAUAGCAAAAUGGGGGGAACCCUGAUGCAGCGACGACGGGUAAAGGAAGAAGGUCGGCGGAAUGUAAACUCCUGUUGUUGGGGAAGGUAAUGACGGUACCCAACAAGGAAGUGACGGCUAACUACGUG